AUCAAAUUUCCUUUUCAUUUUUGGUGUCGACCGAUUCAGUUCGCUUAUCUGAAAGCUAUUUUCUCAGAUUUCUUUUCGAAGAAAGAAGAAAGCUUCUUAACCAUGUAGCCCAGGAACGCCAACGAACCCACCAUUUUUCGUUUUACAUAGGCAAAUAAACGCCAUGUCAUCGUGUGUUUGAUAAUGUUCGUAGUUUCGGGAACGAUGUCGAUAUGGGACUUGGACAAAGUGGUCGCGGAGGAGUUAGUACACUUGAUACUGGGCUUCACUGGGCAGGAAACAUCUUGUGGAGCCACUGGAACACACUACUGACUAUAUUGGCCGUCAUCUGGAGCCAUUCGAUGUACUGAAAUUGAGAUACAAGAAAGUAAAUCGAAUGGCUGCAAAUGACGGCCAAGACGAUCCGGACCUCGGAGCUAGUAGAGGAGCAUAAUUUAGCGCCAAGAUCAUAAAAUCUAGUAAGAUUCCGAGUGUCAGUAGGGUGCUCCAGUUACUCCACGAGAAGUUUCCUGCCCACUGAAUCGCUAGCAAGUUUACUAUCUCCUCUGCGACCACGUUGUCUACAUCCCAUAUCUACAUAGCUCCCGAAACUAGGAACAUCAUCAAACAUACGGAGAUAUGGCGUUUGUUUGCCCAUAUGAAACGAAUUAUGGUCGGUUCGUUGACGAUCCUGGGCGGCAUGGGUAGUCAAGGGAUUCGCCCUGAUGCUACCACCCAGCACAGUCCCAGAGGAAGAUGGCCUGUUUGUCGGCAUCCUCAGACAGUAGUCGAACCAUAUUCUGGCCCUGAUCGGACAUGGAUGCCCCACCAUCAAUCGCCAGGACUACAAAGGAUCCUUCAAGAGAGUCUAAAUGGCAGGCCCUCGAGUUCCCGCGGAUGAUCUGGACAAUGCCCGUCGCACCUCUGAGAAGGCUAUGAAGCACAACAGUCGGAAUGCCUUUUCUUAAAUGGCCAUUCUGAAGCUAAGUCAACGCCACCCACAUCGUUAUAGAGAGGGUAUAAGUCUCCCCAACGCGUCCUUUCAAAUUGAUGAACGGCAUCCGGCAGUUCCACUUGCCACUUAUUCCUUUGGCGAUCACUGAGACUGUUACUCUAAAAAAAAGCAAAA